CAGUCGCCGCGGGAAUACGUAGGGGGCAAGCGUUAUCCGGAAUUACUGGGUGUAAAGGGAGCGUAGACGGUUAAACAAGUCUGAAGAGAAAUGCCGGGGCUCAACCCCGGAGCUGCUUUGGGAACUGUAGAACUGGAGUGUCGGAGGGGUAAGCGGAAUUCCCAGUGUAGCGGUGAAAUGCGUAGAUAUUGGGAGGAACACCGGCGGCGAAGGCGGCUUACUGGACGACAACUGACGUUGAGGCUCGAAGGCGUGGGUAGCAAACAGGAUUAGAUACCCCUGUAGUCCCUGUCUCUUAUAA
rnacentral:rRNA from 1 species